GAUGAAGAACGCAGCGAAAUGCGAUACGUAAUGUGAAUUGCAGAAUUCAGUGAAUCAUCGAAUCUUUGAACGCACAUUGCGCCCGCCAGUAUUCUGGCGGGCAUGCCUGUUCGAGCGUCAUUUCAACCAUCAAGCCCCCGGCUUGUGUUGGGGACCUGCGGCUGCCGCAGGCCCAGAAAAGCAGUGGCGGGCUCGCUGUCACACCGAGCGUAGUAGCAUACAUCUCGCUCUGGGCGUGCUGCGGGUUCCGGCCGUUAAACCACCUUCAUAACCCAAGGUUGACCUCGGAUCAGGUAGGAAGACCCGCUGAACUUAAGCAUAUCAAUAAGCGGAGGA
rnacentral:misc_RNA from 1 species